GGGCGAGUGGCGGAACGGUAGACGCGCUAGGUUUAGGACCUAGUGGGAGCAAUCCCGUGGAGGUUCAAGUCCUCUCUCGCCCACCA
rnacentral:tRNA from 1 species